rnacentral:rRNA from 1 species
UACGGAGGGUGCAAGCGUUAAUCGGAAUUACUGGGCGUAAAGCGUGCGUAGGCGGCUUCUUAAGUCGGAUGUGAAAGCCCCGGGCUCAACCUGGGAAUUGCAUUCGAUACUGGGAGGCUAGAGUUUGGUAGAGGUAAGUGGAAUUCCAGGUGUAGCGGUGAAAUGCGUAGAUAUCUGGAGGAACAUCAGUGGCGAAGGCGGCUUACUGGACCAAAACUGACGCUGAGGUAAGAAAGCGUGGGUAGCAAACAGG